rnacentral:rRNA from 1 species
UACGGGGGGGGCAAGCGUUGUUCGGAAUUACUGGGCGUAAAGGCUCGUAGGCGGCCAACUAAGUCGGACGUGAAAUCCCCAGGCUCAACCUGGGAACUGCGUCCGAUACUGGAUGGCUUGAAUCCGGGAGAGGGAUGCAGAAUUCCAGGUGUAGCGGUGAAAUGACGUAGAUAUCUGGAGGAAUACCGGUGGCGAAGGCGGCAUCCUGGACCGGCAUUGACGCUGAGGAGCGAAAGCUAGGGGAGCAAACGGG